UACGAAGGGGGCUAGCGUUGCUCGGAAUCACUGGGCGUAAAGCGCACGUAGGCGGACUCUUAAGUCAGGGGUGAAAUCCUGGAGCUCAACUCCAGAACUGCCUUUGAUACUGGGAGUCUUGAGUUCGGGAGAGGUGAGUGGAACUGCGAGUGUAGAGGUGAAAUUCGUAGAUAUUCGCAAGAACACCAGUGGCGAAGGCGGCUACCUGGACCAGCACUGACACUGAGGCACGAAAGCGUGGGGAGCAAACAGG
rnacentral:rRNA from 1 species